rnacentral:sRNA from 1 species
GUGACUCAGCUGUCUUCAGAACAACCACGGGGCAGGUCCAGUGUCCUCGGUCGAGCUGACACACAGCAGAGCCUCUGUGACUCUUACGUUCUUGGUACCCUUCAUCUUGUGCGUGCACGCAGAAUGAUACUCUUCAGAGAUCUUGGACGCAUCUGUGAAUUAAAGGGAAAAAAUGAGAUCACACCAAGUAACAUCUAUAGUUCAUGGUGCAUCGUGGGCAACACUGGAAGGACAGCCAUUGCUGACUAAUCAAGGGGACUCUUACGGGCCACUGCAGCUUCAGUAUGGCCUUAGUGAGAAGACUAAGAAGAGAAAUAAACCCCUUGGUAAGCAGUUAAGGAGAGGGACCAUGGCUAGGAGAGAAAGCUGGGGAAUCUCCAGAUGGCCACUUCUUCCUCUAC